GGGUUGUGAGGUUAAGCGACUAAGCGUACACGGUGGAUGCCCUGGCAGUCAGAGGCGAUGAAGGACGUGCUAAUCUGCGAUAAGCGCCGGUAAGGUGAUAUGAACCGUUAUAACCGGCGAUUUCCGAAUGGGGAAACCCAGUGUGAUUCGUCACACUAUCAUUAACUGAAUCCAUAGGUUAAUGAGGCGAACCGGGGGAACUGAAACAUCUAAGUACCCCGAGGAAAAGAAAUCAACCGAGAUUCCCCCAGUAGCGGCGAGCGAACGGGGAGGAGCCCAGAGCCUGAAUCAGCAUGUGUGUUAGUGGAAGCGUCUGGAAAGGCGCGCGAUACAGGGUGACAGCCCCGUACACAAAAGCGCAUGUGCUGUGAGCUCGAUGAGUAGGGCGGGACACGUGGUAUCCUGUCUGAAUAUGGGGGGACCAUCCUCCAAGGCUAAAUACUCCUGACUGACCGAUAGUGAACCAGUACCGUGAGGGAAAGGCGAAAAGAACCCCGGCGAGGGGAGUGAAAAAGAACCUGAAACCGUGUACGUACAAGCAGUGGGAGCCCCACCACUAAGCCAGUGGUGAACUCCACAUCCGCAUCCUUUGCUGAGGAUACGGUUAACGGAGCGAAAGCGACGUUCAACCGCAAAACAAGCAGAGGGGGCUUAGUGGUGGGGUGACUGCGUACCUUUUGUAUAAUGGGUCAGCGACUUAUAUUCUGUAGCAAGGUUAACCGUAUAGGGGAGCCGGAGGGAAACCGAGUCUUAAUUGGGCGUUAAGUUGCAGGGUAUAGACCCGAAACC
rnacentral:rRNA from 1 species